GACGAACGCUGGCGGCGUGCUUAACGCAUGCAAGUCGAACGGUGAAAGCGGAGCUUGCUCCGCUGGAUCAGUGGCAAACGGGUGAGUAACACGUGGGCAACCUGCCCCUCACUUCGGGAUAACUCCGGGAAACCGGGGCUAAUACCGGAUAUGACCUCCUUGGGCAUCCUUGGAGGUGGAAAGUUUUUCGGUGAGGGAUGGGCCCGCGGCCUAUCAGCUUGUUGGUGAGGUAGUGGCUCACCAAGGCGACGACGGGUAGCCGGCCUGAGAGGGCGACCGGCCACACUGGGACUGAGACACGGCCCAGACUCCUACGGGAGGCAGCAGUGGGGAAUAUUGCGCAAUGGGCGAAAGCCUGACGCAGCAACGCCGCGUGCGGGGUGACGGCCUUCGGGUUGUAAACCGCUUUCAGCAGGGAAGAAGCCGCAAGGUGACGGUACCUGCAGAAGAAGCACCGGCUAACUACGUGCCAGCCGCCGCAGUAA
rnacentral:rRNA from 1 species